UACGUAGGUGGCAAGCGUUGUCCGGAUUUACUGGGCGUAAAGAGCGCGCAGGCGGUUGUUUAAGUCGAAUGUGAAAGCCCCCGGCUCAACUGGGGAGGGUCAUUCGAUACUGAUCGACUUGAAGGCAGGAGAGGGAAGUGGAAUUCCGGGUGUAGUGGUGAAAUGCGUAGAUAUCCGGAGGAACACCAGUGGCGAAGGCGACUUCCUGGCCUGUUCUUGACGCUGAGGCGCGAAAGCUAGGGUAGCAAACGGG
rnacentral:rRNA from 1 species